rnacentral:rRNA from 1 species
CCAGACUCCUACGGGAGGCAGCAGUGGGGAAUAUUGGGCAAUGGGCGCAAGCCUGACCCAGCAACGCCGCGUGAAGGAAGAAGGCUUUCGGGUUGUAAACUUCUUUUAUUCGGGACGAAGCAAGUGACGGUACCGAAUGAAUAAGCCACGGCUAACUACGUGCCAGCAGCCGCGGUAAUACGGAGGAUGCGAGCGUUAUCCGGAUUUAUUGGGUUUAAAGGGUGCGUAGGCGGAAUGCCAAGUCAGCGGUAAAAUCGCGGGGCCCAACCUCGCUCCGCCGUUGAAACUGGCGUCCUUGAGUGGGCGAGAAGUAUGCGGAAUGCGUGGUGUAGCGGUGAAAUGCAUAGAUAUCACGCAGAACUCCGAUUGCGAAGGCAGCAUACCGGCGCCCAACUGACGCUGAAGCACGAAAGCGUGGGUAUCGAACAGGAUUAGAUACCCUAGUAGA